AUUGAACGCUGGCGGCAGGCCUAACACAUGCAAGUCGAACGGAGUGGCGGACGGGUGAGUAAUGUCUGGGAAACUGCCUGGUAGUGGGGGAUAACGUCCGGAAACGGGCGCUAAUACCGCAUACUAUCAGAUGAGCCUAGGUCGGAUUAGCUAGUUGGUGGGGUAAAGGCCUACCAAGGCGACGAUCCGUAACUGGUCUGAGAGGAUGACCAGGCAAACUGGAACUGAGACACUGUCCAGACUCCUACGGGAGGCAGCAGUGGGGAAUAUUGGACAAUGGGCGAAAGCCUGAUCCAGCCAUGCCGCGUGUGUGAAGAAGGUCGUCGGAUUGUAAAGCACUUUAAGUUAGGAGGCGUUACCAACAGAAUAAGCACCGGCUAACUUCGUGCCAGCAGCCGCGGUAAUUC
rnacentral:rRNA from 1 species